GCGUGAGUGAAGAAGGCCUUAGGGUUGUAAAACUCUUUCGCCGAUGAAGAUGAUGACUGUAGUCGGUAAAGAAGCCCCGGCUAACUCCGUGCCAGCAGCCGCGGUAAUACGGAGGGGGCUAGCGUUGUUCGGAAUUACUGGGCGUAAAGCGCACGUAGGCGGUCUAUUUAGUUAGGGGUGAAAGGCCUGGGCUCAACCUAGGAACUGCCUUUAAUACUGAUAGGCUAGAGUCCGGGAGAGGGUAGCGGAAUUCCAAGUGUAGAGGUGAAAUUCGU
rnacentral:rRNA from 1 species